rnacentral:rRNA from 1 species
GUGGGGAAUAUUGGACAAUGGGCGAAAGCCUGAUCCAGCCAUGCCGCGUGUGUGAAGAAGGUCUUCGGAUUGUAAAGCACUUUAAGUUGGGAGGAAGGGCAGUAAGUUAAUACCUUGCUGUUUUGACGUUACCGACAGAAUAAGCACCGGCUAACUUCGUGCCAACAGCCGCGGUAAUACGAAGGGUGCAAGCGUUAAUCGGAAUUACUGGGCGUAAAGCGCGCGUAGGUGGUUCAGCAAGUUGAAGGUGAAAUCCCCGGGCUCAACCUGGGAACUGCCUCCAAAACUACUGAGCUAGAGUACGGUAGAGGGUAGUGGAAUUUCCUGUGUAGCGGUGAAAUGCGUAGAUAUAGGAAGGAACACCAGUGGCGAAGGCGACUACCUGGACUGAUACUGACACUGAGGUGCGAAAGCGUGGGGAGCAAACAGGAUUAGAUACCCUAGUAGUCC